ensembl:lncRNA
AGCGCACAGUGUCACGCGGCGUCACUGCGCUGACCCGUCCAGGCACAAUGAUGCCUUCACGUGCCCCUCCUUGCGUCCCCUCGCAGCGCGUGAGCACCGGCUGCAACUCGUUAAAACUUCCGUAAAUACCCAAUUGAGAUUAAAUUUCGAUUUUGAAAGGAAAGGGCAAUGCAUUUGCAAAAACACACCGAGUAUUGCCAACACUCCCUGAAGGCCACAUAAUCAUUGAGACCUUCUUAUGGACGCGCGGAUGGCCUCCCGAUUCAUGGAGGGAGAUCUCCACAAACGUCGGAGAGGUGCACAAAGUUGUGGAGGAAAAUAUGGGACAAAUGUGCAUGCGCGGCACCCGUGAAUUCUUUAGCGAAAAUCCCUAAACCAAAACCCAUUCAUUCUCUAUGUUAGUGCUAAACCACUACGGAUGUAAUAUAUCUUUGGCCACCGGUGGCGCUGUUGUGCGGACCGAGCGUGUACCCGGAUGUAAAGCGUUUCUCCGGACAUUCUCCGUCAGUCUACCCGGGAAAGAGCACCGAAGCGACAGUCCACCUCUGUCGGACCUCGCGCUGUGAGGAAGUCACUAAACAAUGCUGACUCAAGCCUCUGUUGAGAAGAUUGCACUCGACAUCAUGGAAAAGCAGCAGGAACAACAACAACCACCGAGGCAAAAGAAGGGACACACGAAAAGGUGUCUUUCCUGUGGCCAGCCAAAGUCUAGGUAUGAAAAUGAUGGUUCUUCAAUCCACUUCUUCUACCAGCAGGGCCCGGUCCGAUACUUCUACUGCUCCGCUAAAGUUUUUAAAACUUAUGGUGCUGAAGGUCUGACAAACCCCAAAAUGCCUUUUGUAGACUUUACUGAGACAGUUCUCUCAGCUAGAACUGGAUGCCACACAGAAAAGGGUGGCAGAGAAAGGACCGCAGAAGAGGAAAAGAACUGAUUGCCAGUCCGCAGGUCGCAAGUGUCUGUUCUGUAAGAUGGAACUGAAGCAGGGCCCAAACAGUCGUCACAUUCACACUGGGUUCCCUGGAGUAACAGGGAAGUACAUUUUCUGCCCGGUUAAAAUCUUUUCACUAUACAAAGACCAUGGACAUGGAAAUGACGUGGAGAGAGUUCCAGGGGUCUGCUUUCUUUGAGAAAGAAAAACAGAGAUGGGAGGCUGAAAGGAGGAAUGAAGAGAAAUAAUAAGGGGAGUUCCAUCCAGAAUUUUAAGUCCAAUUAUUUGUAAUAUACAUGUUGUAAUUAGUUUAUAUAUUGUUUUCUUGCAUUUGUGACUUUGUACAUUAAAUAUUAUCUUUUUAUUUAUUCUUUAUAUUUGGUUUUAUGGUUUGAUAGUCAUUAGUUGAAUUAUUUGGAUGUCUUUAUUUCGGUAACAUUUUUGUUUGUAUAGGACUAUACACGUUAAUAAAUAUAUUUCAA